rnacentral:rRNA from 3 species
AUGAGAGUUUGAUCCUGGCUCAGGAUGAACGCUGGCGGCGUGCCUAAGGUAUGCAAGUCGAGCGACCCACUUCGGGUGGGAGCGGCAAACGGGUGAGUAACACGUGGAUUAUCUACCUCUAACACAAGGAUAGCUCGCCGAAAGGCGGAUUAAUACUUGAUAGUCUCUUAUCGCAAGAUAAGAGUAAAGCUUUGGCGGUUAGAGAUGAGUCCGCGGCCUAUCAGCUUGUUGGUAAGGUAAUGGCUUACCAAGGCUAUAACGGGUAGCUGGUCUGAGAGGAUGGUCAGCCACACUGGGACUGUGACACGGCCCAGACUCCUACGGGAGGCAGCAAUCAGGAAUCUUGCGCAAUGGGGGAAACCCUGACGCAGCGACGCCGCGUGGAGGAUGAAGGCCUUCGGGUUGUAAACUCCUUUUCUAUAGGAUGAUAAUGACGUAACUGUAGGAAUAAGCACCUGCUAACUACGUGCCAGCAGCCGCGGUAAUACGUAGGGUGCAAGCGUUAUCCGGGAUCAUUGGGCGUAAAGAGUAGCGUAGGCGGUUUAUUAAGUUUUUAGUGAAAUCCUUCGGCUUAACCGGGGACCCGCUAAGAAUACUGGUAGACUAGAAAUAUGGAGGGGAAAGCGGAACUCUUGGUGUAGGGGUGAAAUCCGUUGAUAUCAAGAGGAACACCAAAGGCGUAGGCAGCUUUCUGGCCAUUUUUUGACGCUCAGGCACGAAAGCGUGGGGAGCGAAACGGAUUAGAUACCCGUGUAGUCCACGCUGUAAACGAUGGAUACUAGAUACCUGACCCACUGAGGAUAGGAAAUAUUUUUUCCUAUUUUGAGUGGGUUGGGUGUCGUAAGCUAACGCGUUAAGUAUCCCGCCUGGGGAGUACGGCCGCAAGGCUAAAACUCAAAGGAAUUGACGGGGGAACGCACAAGCGGUGGAGCGCGUGGUUUAAUUCGAUAAUAAACGAAGAACCUUACCAGGGUUUGACAUUCUAAUUGCUAAUCUAUCGAAAGAUGGACUCCUUCGAGGGUAUUAGAACAGGUGUUGCACGGCUGUCGUCAGCUCGUGUCGUGAGAUGUCGGGUUAAGUCCCACAACGAGCGCAACCCCUAUCAUCUGUUGUAUUUCUCAGAUGAGACUGCUCGCGUAAGCGAGAGGAAGGUGGGGACGACGUCUAGUCAGCGUGGCCCUUAUAUCCUGGGCAACACACGCGCUACAAUGGUCAAGACAAAGAGUUGCAAUCUGGCGACAGGGAGCUAAUCUCAUAAACUUGAUCUCAGUUCAGAUUGCAGGCUGAAAUUCGCCUACAUGAAGAUGGAAUCGCUAGUAAUCGCAGGUCAGCUAUACUGUGGUGAAUACGUUCUCGUUCCUUGUACACACCGCCCGUCAAGUAGGGAAAGCUGGGGGCACCCGAAGACCGUCGUAAGAUGGGCUAAGGUGAAACCGGUAAUCAAUGCUAAGUCGUAACAAGGUAUCCGUAGGGGAAUCUGCGGAUGGAUCACCUCCUUUCUAAGGA